UACGUAGGGACCAAGCGUUGUUCGGAUUCAUUGGGCGUAAAGGGUGCGUAGGCGGUCUGCUAAGUUUGAUGUGAAAUCCCGGGGCUCAACCCUGGAAUGGCAUUGAAUACUGGCGGACUAGAGUACCGGAGAGGAAACUGGAAUUUACGGUGUAGCAGUGAAAUGCGUAGAGAUCGUAAGGAAGACCAGUGGCGAAGGCGAGUCUCUGGACAGCAACUGACGCUGAGGCACGAAGGCCAGGGGAGCAAACGGG
rnacentral:rRNA from 1 species